rnacentral:rRNA from 1 species
UACGUAGGGUGCAAGCGUUGUCCGGAAUUAUUGGGCGUAAAGAGCUCGUAGGCGGUUUGUCGCGUCUGCUGUGAAAACUCGGGGCUUAACCCCGGGCCUGCAGUGGGUACGGGCAGACUAGAGUGCGGUAGGGGAGACUGGAAUUCCUGGUGUAGCGGUGAAAUGCGCAGAUAUCAGGAGGAACACCGGUGGCGAAGGCGGGUCUCUGGGCCGAUACUGACGCUGAGGAGCGAAAGCCAGGGGAGCGAACGGG